UACGGAGGGUGCAAGCGUUCUCCGGAUUCACUGGGUUUAAAGGGUGCGUAGGUGGGUUGGUAAGUCAGUGGUGAAAUCCCCGAGCUUAACUUGGGAACUGCCAUUGAUACUAUCAGUCUUGAAUAUUGUGGAGGUUAGCGGAAUAUGUCAUGUAGCGGUGAAAUGCUUAGAUAUGACAUAGAACACCAAUUGCGAAGGCAGCUGGCUACGCAUAUAUUGACACUGAGGCACGAAAGCGUGGGGAUCAAACAGG
rnacentral:rRNA from 1 species